CGUAGGGUGCGAGCGUUGUCCGGAAUUAUUGGGCGUAAAGGGCUCGUAGGCGGUUUGUCGCGUCGGGAGUGAAAACACACAGCUUAACUGUGUGCUUGCUUUUCGAUACGGGCAGACUAGAGGUAUGCAGGGGAGAACGGAAUUCCUGGUGUAGCGGUGAAAUGCGCAGAUAUCAGGAGGAACACCGGUGGCGAAGGCGGUUCUCUGGGCAUUACCUGACGCCGAGGAGCGAAAGUGUGGGGAGCGAACAGGAUU
rnacentral:rRNA from 1 species